AAUUAUCAAACCCCUUUUACUUUAUUGUAAAAGUGGGCUUGGAUUUGGAGGUUUAUUGCUGGCUGCAUUAAAUUGUUGGUCAGCUCCUCUUGAAUGCAUUAGCUUUGAGCCUUUAACGGGUCGGCUUAUCGGUGUGAUAAAUUUUAUGCCGUGGUCGGUUUCGUGAAUAAAAAUCAAGCUUCUAAUCGUCCUUCUUAAUGGGACAAUACAUUUGAC
rnacentral:misc_RNA from 1 species